UUUUGAUCAAUGAGUUAAAGGUUGAUAAGUUAGCAUUGAUUAGAGAGGUUUAAUCUUCCUUGAUUCAAAUCUAAUUCAUCUUGAUCAAAUGAUCAAGUGAAUGGCUUUGCAUUAAGGAUAGGUUGCUUCUUAAAUCAUGCAAAGGACUUAAACCAAUACAAGAUCAUUUCUCUUUCUCUUUUUGGCAUGGCAAGUUGUUGGAACUUGGUUCACUAAUCAAGACUUCUAACU
rnacentral:lncRNA from 1 species